UACAGAGGGCGCGGGCGUUAUUCGUUUUGAUUGGGUGUAAAGGGUACGUAGACGGUUUCUAGUUUCUUGGCUGAAAGAGCGGAGUGUUCCUACGCGAGUGGCCUUUGAGAAAGGAUUCUUGAGUUGAUUAGGGGUCGGAGCAAGUUCUCAAGUAAAGAUUGAAUUUGUCGAUAUGAGAACGAACGACAGCAGGCGAAGGCGUCCCUCCGGUUUCAACUGACGUUAAGGUACGGAAGCGUAGGGAGCAAACGGG
rnacentral:rRNA from 1 species